GUGCUUGUGGUGUAGUGGUUAUCACAUCCGCCUAACACGCGGAAGGUCCCACGUUCGAUCCCUGGCAGGCACA
rnacentral:tRNA from 1 species